UGGGGAAUAUUGCGCAAUGGGCGGAAGCCUGACGCAGCGACGCCGCGUGAGGGAUGAAGGCCUUCGGGUUGUAAACCUCUUUCAGCAGGGACGAAGCGAAAGUGACGGUACCUGCAGAAGAAGCACCGGCCAACUACGUGCCAGCAGCCGCGGUAAUACGUAGGGUGCAAGCGUUGUCCGGAAUUAUUGGGCGUAAAGAGCUCGUAGGCGGUUUGUCACGUCGGUUGUGAAAAUCCGAGGCUCAACCUCGGACCUGCAAUCGAUACGGGCAGGCUAGAGUUUGGUAGGGGAGACUGGAAUUCCUGGUGUAGCGGUGAAAUGCGCAGAUAUCAGGAGGAACACCGGUGGCGAAGGCGGGUCUCUGGGCCAAUACUGACGCUGAGGAGCGAAAGCGUGGGGAGCGAACAGGAUUAGAUACCCCCGUAGUCC
rnacentral:rRNA from 1 species